rnacentral:ncRNA from 1 species
AGCAAAUAAGGCAAUGAGAACAUUUAUAGUAAAUACAUAUUGGUGGUGGCGCUCCGUACAACCCGCAAGGUCGUAAGGGACGAAGGCCUAUAUGUAUUUACGAGUAAAAGGAACACGAGAUAAAGAAAAGAGGUCUGUC